GUGUUGUAUAUGAAAGGAGAGAAGGUUGGCGCUCCCCUUGAUGAGGACGGAAUUCACCUUCAGGUGACAACACACAAAUGGUUUUUAAGGCAAUGCCACUUUGUGGCAUCUAACUACUUUUUUUU